GCCUGGUGCAGUGGCAUACACCUGUAAUCCCCGUAACUGGGGAGGCUGAAGCAGGAGGAUUGCAAGUUUGAGGCCAGCCUCAGCAAUUUAGUGACCCCCUCAGUAGCAUAGUAAGACCCUGUCUCAA
rnacentral:sRNA from 1 species